CUACGGGUGGCAGCAGUAAGGAAUAUUGGUCAAUGGACGAAAGUCUGAACCAGCUAUGCCGCGUGAAGGAUUAAGGUCCUCUGGAUUGUAAACUUCUUUUAUAUGGGACGAAAAAAGGUCUUUCUAGAUCACUUGACGGUACCAUAUGAAUAAGCACCGGCUAACUCCGUGCCAGCAGCCGCGGUAAUACGGAGGGUGCAAGCGUUAUCCGGAUUCACUGGGUUUAAAGGGUGCGUAGGCGGGCAGGUAAGUCAGUGGUGAAAUCCUGGAGCUCAACUCCAGAACUGCCAUUGAUACUAUCUGUCUUGAAUAUUGUGGAGGUAAGCGGAAUAUGUCAUGUAGCGGUGAAAUGCUUAGAUAUGACAUAGAACACCUAUUGCGAAGGCAGCUUACUACGCAUAUAUUGACGCUGAGGCACGAAAGCGUGGGGAUCAAACAGGAUUAGAUACCCCGGUAGUC
rnacentral:rRNA from 1 species